rnacentral:rRNA from 1 species
UACGUAGGGACCAAGCGUUGUUCGGAUUUACUGGGCGUAAAGGGCGCGUAGGCGGCUUGACAAGUCACUUGUGAAAUCUCCGGGCUUAACUCGGAACGGCCAAGUGAAACUGUCAUGCUAGAGUGCAGAAGGGGCAAUCGGAAUUCUCGGUGUAGCGGUGAAAUGCGUAGAUAUCGAGAGGAACACCUGCGGCGAAGGCGGGUUGCUGGGCUGACACUGACGCUGAUGCGCGAAAGCCAGGGGAGCGAACGGG